rnacentral:misc_RNA from 1 species
AACUUCUCAAACCACAUCAGAUUGAUGUUGGCUUGGAUGUGGGGGUUGUUUUUGCAGGCUUUCUUGUAGAAGGUCGGCUCCCCUGAAAUGAAUUAGUGGUAUCUGAGGCUACUACUGUGGGUGUGAUAACUAUCUAUGCCUUUGGUAUGCCGCAUGAACAGAUUACACUGCUUCUAACAAAACAAAUGUUGAUAA